AGCAGCCGCGGUAAUUCCAGCUCCAAUAGCGUAUAUUAAAGUUGCUGCAGUUAAAAAGCUCGUAGUUGAAUUUCGGGACUAAUAUGUCGGUCGUGCCUCGGUACGUACUGGUAUUUUUGGUUUCUCCCUUCUGACGAACCUUGAUGCCAUUAAUUUGGUGUCUUGGGAAAUCAGGACUGUUACUUUGAAAAAAUUAGAGUGUUUAAAGCAGGCUCACGCUUGAAUACAUUAGCAUGGAAUAAUGAAAUAGGACGUUUGAUUCUAUUUUGUUGGUUUCUAGGAUCGACGUAAUGAUUAAUAGGGAUAGUUGGGGGCAUUAGUAUUCAAUUGUCAGAGGUGAAAUUCUUGGAUUUAUUGAAGACUAACUACUGCGAAAGCAUUUGCCAAGGAUGUUUUCAUUAAUCAAGAACGAAAGUUAGGGGAUCGAAGACGAUCAGAUACCGUCGUAGUCUUAACCAUAAACUAUGCCGACUAGGGAUCGGAUGAUGUUAAUUUUUAAUGACUCAUUCGGCGCCUUACG
rnacentral:rRNA from 1 species